rnacentral:rRNA from 1 species
ACGAACGCUGGCGGCGUGCCUCAUACAUGCAAGUAGAACGCUGAAGGAGGAGCUUGCUCUUCUGGAUGAGUUGCGAACGGGUGAGUAACGCGUAGGUAACCUGCCUGGUAGCGGGGGAUAACUAUUGGAAACGAUAGCUAAUACCGCAUAAAAUUGAUUAUUGCAUGAUAGUCAAUUAAAAGGUGCAAUUGCAUCACUACCAGAUGGACCUGCGUUGUAUUAGCUAGUUGGUGAGGUAACGGCUCACCAAGGCAACGAUACAUAGCCGACCUGAGAGGGUGAUCGGCCACACUGGGACUGAGACACGGCCCAGACUCCUACGGGAGGCAGCAGUAGGGAAUCUUCGGCAAUGGACGGAAGUCUGACCGAGCAACGCCGCGUGAGUGAAGAAGGUUUUCGGAUCGUAAAGCUCUGUUGUAAGAGAAGAACGAGUGUGAGAGUGGAAAGUUCACACUGUGACGGUAUCUUACCAGAAAGGGACGGCUAACUACGUG